UCCUGCAGAACUUCAUGUUCACAUGGGGAGCUAUCAAACGUGCCUUUCCUAACCAUUGCAGCUUUGCUAUAAAUGCUGUUUGAAUCUGUGAACAACCAUACGAAAUCAUUGCAUAACUGUCAACAUUAGACGAUAAAAAUCACUUUAAAUGAAAGUAAAAAAAUAAUACAUCUACCUUACCAAAAGAUAAAUCACUCAAAAACAGCCGUAUUUUAUUUGUUUGUAUUUUGGCCAUGUGGCUUCCAGUUCAAAAGAUCAGACAUUUUACCCAUCAUUAAAGAGUUAAUCUGAGUCCAUUAACUGAUAGAUUCCGUGUUUAUCUGCUGCUCGAGAUCCUGACAAAAUUAUAGAUUUAUUUUAACACGUAUAAAGCCACAAAUUUGUGUCCUCCCACCGCUUCUCCUCUUUCAGUUUGGCGUCUCGUUUAAUAAAUGUGCUACACUUACUGACCACAAGAGGGAGCCGCUGAUCACCUGUUUUCACCUGUCUUACAUUCAACGAGCUAAACAGGGAUUCUGCUUGAGUAUGUCAAUGUGAAAGUAAACUACACGUUUAAGUAAUGAGUUAGGGACCAAAGUUGAAGUCAUGUUCAGUCUACUGGCACUAUAACACGACUCGUCUGGUGGGAAGGUAACGUGCAGUUUGUCGUCCGCACCACUAGGGGCGCAAGCGGACUCUGCCUCCGGCGAACUGUGCAUCGUUGACAACAUGACACCUGACAGCAGUGUCAACAACAACUUCAAACCGUUUUAUAGCCAUGAAAGUGCAGAUUCUGCCCAUGACAGCUCAGUGACAGACUCUUAAUGUGACUCAACAGCACAUAUUUCAGGCCAGAAUGAAACAAAACCAUCAUAUACGGCGAUAAAGUGCAUGAAUCGAGGAUGUCACGCGACUCACCUAAUAAGGCAUGUGUUUGGACUAUAUAAAGGUCUCGGACAUGUGGACAUUCACCGCAAUGAUGGACAUCUGCUCAUGGACAGCAUAACCCCUGCUGGACAUUGUGCCGGAAGCACCAGGGGGAGACCGUACCAGUAUCCCCCUCCUUUGGGUGCACCCUUCACUCACACCACACCACUCAUAUCGCAGAGAUCUGGCUGGGAUUGAACCAGCAACCUCUAAACCCAUGAGGCAGCACUCAUACCUGUGAGCCACAGAUCUCUUGUCUGGACACAUGAGGGAACUUCUACUUGACUGUUCACCUGUAGGUGAGCUGUGAGUUUCAAGUAAAGUGUCAGAUAAAGGCUUUAAAGCUGUGGUGUAGUGAUUGUGUCCAACACACUGAGGUGGGAUUUGAACCCACAACUCCAAUGCAUCCAUGUGUGCAAUUAACGUGUGUCUAGCCACUAGCACCACUGUGGCUUUCACGACGUGUGCUGGUGUUUGAGGCACUUUGUUGGAUAUAAUGCAAUAUGUGAGAUUUUUAACAUAAGCUAUAGUGGGAUUUGAACUCAGGGUUUUGUGAUUGCAGCUCAACGCUUUACCAACUGAGCUACUGAAUCUCAGUGGUUUUAGUUGGGAAUAUGAUAAAAAAUACACCUUUGAAAAUAUAACUUUCGUAAUGCUUGGAUUUGAACCAAGAGUUUUUUUGUACCAAAGGUAAACAACUAUUCUCUGAGCCACAGGUCUCAUGGUGUUUUUGCUUAAAUACAUUGACCCUAGUUGUUAUUAUAAUAUGGAGCGGUGGGAUUUGAACCCACAACUGUAGCUCUUCCGUGCACGUGAUUAACAUGUAUUUAGCCAC
ensembl:lncRNA